rnacentral:rRNA from 1 species
UACGAAGGGGGCUAGCGUUGCUCGGAAUCACUGGGCGUAAAGGGUGCGUAGGCGGGUCUUUAAGUCAGGGUGAAAUCCUGGAGCUCAACUCCAGAACUGCCUUUGAUACUGAGGAUCUUGAGUUCGGGAGAGGUGAGUGGAACUGCGAGUGUAGAGGUGAAAUUCGUAGAUGUUCGCAAGAACACCAGUGGCGAAGGCGGCUCACUGGCCCGAUACUGACGCUGAGGCACGAAAGCGUGGGGAGCAACAGG